UACAGAGGUCCCAAGCGUUGUUCGGAUUCACUGGGCGUAAAGGGUGCGUGGGUGGUGGGGUAAGUCGGAUGUGAAAGCUCGGAGCUCAACUCCGAAAUGGCAUUGGAAACUACCCUGCUAGAGGAUUGGAGGGGGGACUGGAAUACUUGGUGUAGCAGUGAAAUGCGUAGAUAUCAAGUGGAACACCAGUGGCGAAGGCGAGUCCCUGGACAAUUCCUGACACUGAGGCACGAAAGCUAGGGGAGCAAACAGG
rnacentral:rRNA from 1 species